UACCCAGUUGCUGAGUGCUCACUUAGGCAA
rnacentral:piRNA from 1 species